UACGGAGGGUGCGAGCGUUAUUCGGAUUUAUUGGGCGUAAAGCGCGCGUAGGCGGUUUGGAUAGUCUGCUGUGAAAGCCCACGACUCAAUCGUGGAACUGCAGUGGAAACUACCAGACUAGAGUACUGGAGGGGAGAACGGAAUUCCUGGUGUAGAGGUGAAAUUCGUAGAUAUCAGGAGGAACAACGGUGGCGAAGGCG
rnacentral:rRNA from 1 species